UCCUCUGCAGGAGUUACGAGAUUCCAACUGGGGCAGCGGACUAUAAAUAAAAGCAACAUGCUCAUCAGGAUUGUCGCUUUUGUGUCUCCUGCAGGACCAGACAACACAAUGCGCAAGAAGACAAAUGGUGCUUGGCAGCAGGCGAGGACGCGGACCAAAAGGUUAAGUGAAUAAUGUUGUGACGCCAAACAUCCCGAAGGGGAGCCAAGAAUCCAAUGCAGCUUGUUGCUGAAAUGGCCAUUGAGAAACUCGGACCAAACCAAACCGGACGACAUCAGCUCUUUUAAAAUGGGUUUUUCUUCCCACGAGAGUCCACAUUCCGAACGCCCCUCUGAGCUCAGCUGGCUUGAGUAUCAGCGCGUGAGCUUCACACACACACGUGCGCUAGGCACUGGCUCGGAUGCCGCAAAGCAAACCUGACAAAGUGGCAGCUCCAUCUUGUGGCCGGGCGCUGCGUCACAGUCUUUCGGCUCCUGCUCGAAGGGACAAAAACUGCUUUUUGACACAAGAGGACCAAUCAGCUUCACAGGUUAGGAUGAAUAACAACAAACAUGACAUCACCCAUCAUCCUUGUACAAAUACACCAUUUAAGUCACGUAUGCAGUUUCUUUGUGUGUUUUUUUUAUUACAUUUUUUUUUAAAGCCAUAACAGCAAGAAUCAAAUAUAGCAAUGCAGCCCCCCCCCUUCAGGGAAAACAAACAAUGUAGAGCUUCAUCUCGACUCCAUUCAACAUUUUAUGGCUUUAGACUAGCAUUUCAUCUCUUGACUGACACACGGGGAUGGGGGUCGGGGGGCACGCCGCAGAUAAACAAGCAGAAACAAACAUGGCGGAAUACAUCAUCUUAGCACUAUGAGCAGAGAAAACAAAACAAACUAAA